CCGUAGGGCGCUAGCGUUGUCCGGAUUUAUUGGGCGUAAAGAGCUCGUAGGCGGCUUGUCGCGUCGAAUUUGAAAUCUCGGGGCUCAACUCCGAGCUUGCAUUCGAUACGGGCAGGCUAGAGUUCGGUAGGGGAGACUGGAAUUCCUGGUGUAGCGGUGAAAUGCGCAGAUAUCAGGAGGAACACCGAUGGCGAAGGCAGGUCUCUGGGCCACUACUGACGCUGAGAAGCGAAAGCAUGGGGAGCGAACAGG
rnacentral:rRNA from 1 species